rnacentral:pre_miRNA from 1 species
UAUCUACUCUCUCCGUUCCAUAUUAAGUGUCGAAAUAUUACAUGUAUCUAGACAUAUUUUAAUAUAUAAAUACAUUCAUUUUUAGGCAAAUUUGAGUCACUUAAUAUGGGACGAAGGGGGUAUGUU